rnacentral:rRNA from 1 species
CCCAGACUCCUACGGGAGGCAGCAGUGAGGAAUAUUGGUCAAUGGGCUUACGCCUGAACCAGCCAAGUCGCGUGAGGGAAGACUGCCCUAUGGGUUGUAAACCUCUUUUGUCAGGGAGCAACGCCGGCUACGUGUAGCCGGACUGAGAGUACCUGAAGAAAAAGCAUCGGCUAACUCCGUGCCAGCAGCCGCGGUAAUACGGAGGAUGCGAGCGUUAUCCGGAUUCACUGGGUGUAAAGGGAGCGUAGACGGCGACGCAAGUCUGGGGUGAAAGCCCGGGGCCCAACCCCGGGACUGCUCUGGAAACUGCGUCGCUGGAGUACGGGAGGGGCAGGCGGAAUUCCUGGUGUAGCGGUGAAAUGCGUAGAUAUCAGGAGGAACACCGGCGGCGAAGGCGGCCUGCUGGACCGCGACUGACGUUGAGGCUCGAAAGCGUGGGGAGCGAACAGGAUUAGAUACCCGGGUACC